GCGGGAAUAGCUCAGGUGGUAGAGCGUUGGCUUCCCAAGCCAAAGGCCGCGGGUUCGAACCCCGUUUCCCGCUCCA
rnacentral:tRNA from 2 species